rnacentral:rRNA from 1 species
GUAGUGAUAUGCUUGUUUCAAAGAUUAAGCCAUGCACGUCUAAGUAUAAGCGAACUUAUACAGUGAAACUGCGGAUGGCUCAUUAAAACAGUUUGAAUUUAUUUGGUGAAUGUAUGAGAAUACUACUUGGAUAACCGUAGUAAUUCUAGAGCUAAUACAUGCAACGACGCCCGACCGUUUCACUACGGAAGGGCUGUAUUUAUUGGAUACCAAAACCAUCCUUCCCUCGGGAAGUUUUGUUUGAUGAUUCACAAUAACUGAUCGGAUCGCCACUGUGGUGGCGACAGGUCAUUCAACAUUCUGCCCUAUCAGCUUUCGAUGGUUGUGUAGUGGACAACCAUGGCCAUAACGGGUAACGGAGAAUCAGGGUUCGAUUCCGGAGAAGGAGCUUGAGAAUUGGCUACUACAUCUAAGGAAGGCAGCAGGCGCGCAAAUUACCCAAUCCCGAUUCGGGGAGGUAGUGACAAAAAAUAACAAUACCGGGCCUUUUUGGGCUUGGUAAUUGGAAUGAGGGAGAGUUAAACGGACCAUCGAGUAUCCAUUGGAGGGCAAGUCUGGUGCCAGCAGCUGCGGUAAUACCAGCUCCAAUAGCGUAUAUUAAAGUUGUUGCAGUUAAAAAGCUCGUAGUUGGACUUGUGUGCGCUGUCCGCGGGUGGCCUGCGCCCAAAAGGGCGUUUCGGUUCGGCCCCGGUGGCGCCUUGAAAUCUGCAGCUGGGGGGACGUUGGCCUUAACUGGUCGGCGACCGCACGCCGGCUGCUCGGUUACUGUGAGAAAAUUAGAGUGUUCAAGGCAGGCAUUGGGUGCAAUUGAAUACAUUAGCAUGGAAUAAUAAAAUAUGGCUCCUGCCGUAUUUUGUUGGUUUUGACUGGUGGGAGUAAUGAUUGAUAGGGACGGUUGGGGGUGCUAGUAUUGAGCGGCCAGAGGUGAAGUUCAUGGAUUCGCUCAAGACUAACUUAUGCGAAAGCAUUCACCAAGGACGUCCUCUUUAAUCAAGAACGAAAGUUGGGGGAUCGAAGACGAUCAGAUACCGUCGUAGUCUCAACCAUAAACUAUGUCGACUUGGGAUCGGCGGUAGUUUUUUCAUUAAGACACUGUCGGGACCACGGGAGAAAUCAAAGUGUCUGGACUCUGGGGGAAGUAUGGUCGCAAGGCUGAAACUUGAAGGAAUUGACGGAAGGGCACCACCAGGAGUGGAGCCUGCGGC